rnacentral:rRNA from 1 species
AUGUUGAUGCUCGGCGUCCUGCUCCUUUUUCUGAUGCCGUUGUCGGCAACGGGAACGGCACAGCUCUGCGGCAGCGGCAGCAACUACACCACCAACAGCACCUAUCAGUCGAACCUCGCCGCCCUUGCCGCCACCCUCCCCACUAAUGCCUCCUCCUCCCGUCAGCAAUUUGCCGCCGCCACCGUUGGACAAGUACCUGAUGCGGUGCACGCGCUCGCGCUCUGCCGCGGCGACUUCGCCAACGACACGGCAUGUGCGGACUGUGUUGCCGCCUCAUUCCAGCACGCACAGCAGACAUGCCCCAACGACGAGGCCGCCACCGUCUACUACGACUAUGAUGACGUAAACAAUCAGAGGCCAGGCUGCGUACUCGGCUUCUCUGGCGAGAGCGAUUUCCUCAGCCCAGCGGCCGGUCUCACCGAGAACGGUACGCUCUUCGAGGCAUGGAAUCCGGGGAACAUCUCCGCGGACGCCACCAUCACCGCCGCAGACGUCCACAACCUGCUGACUGUGACAGCCCAGGACUCGGCCGCCGACACGGCGAGGCGGUACUCCACAGCGGUGAUGGAUGCCGUGCCAACGCUCUACUCCCUCACACAGUGCACGCCGGACCUGUCCGCCGGUGAUUGCCUGGUUUGCCUCCAGCGGCUUAUCGGCAUGGUCAACGCCACCACGUCCGUGCGCCAGGGAGGACGGAUCUUCGUCCUGCGCUGCAACAUCAGGUUCGAGACGUUUAUGUUCUUCGACCAGCCUAUGCGGCGGAUCAAUCCAUCCUCCAUCACUCAGGCUCCACCAGGCAAGAGUAUGUACACGAACUGUUCAGUGAGAUUGCGAGAAAGGCGUACUAAUAAAUUGCACGGAGGGGAUCAUGAACUAGUAUGGGAUAUGGAAACAGGAAUGUUAUCAGGGUUUUCGUUUUUUGAGUUUGAUCAGAUACAGGAGGCCACGGGUAACUUCUCUGAAGAAAAUAAACUUGGAGAAGGCGGAUUUGGCCCUGUAUAUAAGGGACAUUUUCUUGAGGGAAUGGAGAUAGCAGUAAAGAGGCUUGCUUCACACUCAGGACAAGGUUUGGUAGAGUUCAAAAAUGAAGUUCAGCUCAUAGCCAAGCUUCAACACAGGAAUUUGGUGAGACUGCUGGGAUGUUGCUCUCAAGGAGAGGAAAAGAUACUGGUCUAUGAAUACAUGCCGAACAAAAGCUUGGACUUCUUCAUAUUUGAUGAACACAGAAAAGCUUUAAUGGAUUGGAACAGACGUCUAGCAAUAAUUGAAGGAAUAGCAGAAGGCCUUCUUUAUCUACAUAAGCACUCUCGUCUGCGUGUUAUACAUCGAGAUCUUAAGCCAAGCAACAUUCUCUUGGACAAUGAAAUGAAUCCUAAAAUUUCGGAUUUUGGACUAGCAAAAAUAUUCAGC